UACGUAGGGGGCAAGCGUUGUCCGGAAUUAUUGGGCGUAAAGAGCAUGUAGGCGGUAGGUUAAGUUGGAUGUAAAAGGCAAUGGCUCAACCAUUGUAAGCAUCCAAAACUGGUCUACUUGAGUGCAGGAGAGGAGAGUGGAAUUCCCGGUGUAGCGGUGGAAUGCGUAGAGAUCGGGAGGAACACCAGUGGCGAAGGCGACUCUCUGGCCUGCAACUGACGCUGAGAUGCGAAAGCGUGGGGAGCAAACAGG
rnacentral:misc_RNA from 1 species